GUUGCCUACGGGGAGCCAUCAUGGCGCUGGCUCCGUGCUGCACUGUUCCUGUCCUUGAGCCCAGGCCCUGAGGUGAGGCUGAGAAGUGGCGCGGAGGUGAGCCCAGAGCUGUCCCUGAGGUGAGGCUGAGAAUAAGUGCAAGGCAGAGGUGCUGCUGAGGAAGGAGAGCCCUGUGGUGGGGAAGAAACAAAGCUGUGAGUGCCCAUCCCCGAGCAGGUGCUGUGUCCAUCCCCUGUGUGCCAGGAUUUGUCCUUCCCAAAGCUUGGGCGGAUGGAGGAGGAGGCUGCGAGG